AUGGCGUCGCGGACGAAGCGCCACUCCUCCCAGCUCGACCACGGCACCAGCUUCCGGGCGGUGGAGCGGCCGCCGCCGGCGUCGCCUGCAUCUUCCGCCGCCUCCAUGGGAGCCGAGCCGAGGCGAGCGGCGAGUCCAAACCCUACUAAACCCACCGGUGGGGUCGCGCCGUUUCGCUCGGGGGAAAAGACGACGACUCGCUGCCAAGGUGGGCCAAGGGUGUGUGUAUGGUUCAAUGGUUGCGAGCGCCGAGCAGGGUGUUUUCGGCAAUUUUCCACGACAGUUGUUGAGGUCUGUCCCCACCCCGCCGCCCACCGUGCGGACGCGGCCGUGGCCAACCUCCGUCCGGUACAUGGCCUCGCCGGCGCCCCUCGUCGGAGGAGAGGCCUAAAGGCAACCGCAGCCAGGACGCCCGCGCCGUCGCUCUCUCAUCCUGCCGCCGCUCACAUUGUCCGCUCCAACCUGCACGACACCAACAUUAUCAAUGUCAUUAUGAGAAAAUGUGUCACCUUCUAUAUCUGCUCAAGCACAAUAACAUCCCCAUCAAUCUCGAUGUCUCUGAUACCUUCUUCUGGCAAGCUUUCAAGCUCACGACAGUUGGAGAUAUGUAGUGUUUCAAGUGAGGAGACUUCAUGCAGACCAGGAGGCAAACACUGGAGGUCAUCACAGCGUGAUAUGUCUAAGAACUGA
rnacentral:rRNA from 1 species